rnacentral:rRNA from 1 species
UACCCGCUGAACUUAAGCAUAUCAAUAAGCGGAGGAAAAGAAACCAACAGGGAUUGCCCUAGUAACGGCGAGUGAAGCGGCAACAGCUCAAAUUUGAAAUCUGGCCCUUUUAGGGUCCGAGUUGUAAUUUGCAGAGGGCGCUUUGGCGUUGGCAGCGGUCCAAGUUCCUUGGAACAGGACGUCACAGAGGGUGAGAAUCCCGUACGUGGUCGCUGGCCUUCGCCGUGUAAAGCCCCUUCGACGAGUCGAGUUGUUUGGGAAUGCAGCUCUAAAUGGGAGGUAAAUUUCUUCUAAAGCUAAAUACUGGCCAGAGACCGAUAGCGCACAAGUAGAGUGAUCGAAAGAUGAAAAGCACUUUGGAAAGAGAGUCAAAUAGCACGUGAAAUUGUUGAAAGGGAAGCGCUUGCAGCCAGACUUGCCUGUAGUUGCUCAUCCGGGCUUUUGCCCGGUGCACUCUUCUAUGGGCAGGCCAGCAUCAGUUUGGGCGGUUGGAUAAAGGUUUCUGUCACGUACCCCUCUUCGGGGGGGCCUUAUAGGGGAAACGACAUGCAACCAGCCCAGACUGAGGUCCGCGCAUCUGCUAGGAUGCUGGCGUAAUGGCUGUAAGCGGCCCGUCUUGAAACACGGACCAAGGAGUCUAACAUCUAUGCGAGUGUUUGGGUGUCAAGCCCGAACGCGUAAUGAAAGUGAACGGAGGUAGGAACCCAUUAGGGCGCACUAUCGACCGAUCCUGAUGUCUUCGGAUGGAUUUGAGUAAGAGCAUGGCUGUUGGGACCCGAAAGAUGGUGAACUAUGCUUGAAUAGGGUGAAGCCAGAGGAAACUCUGGUGGAGGCUCGCAGCGGUUCUGACGUGCAAAUCGAUCGUCAAAUUUGGGCAUAGGGGCGAAAGACUAAUCGAACUAUCUAGUAGCUGGUUCCUGC